rnacentral:siRNA from 1 species
UGCCAUAUCUCAGGAGCUUUCA